CCCAUGGAGGUCUGGAUUUGGAGUCACACUCAAAAUUAAAGUGGAAAAACACACUACAGGCUGAUCCAACUUUGAUGCAAUGUCCUUAAAACAAGUCAAAAUGAGGCUCAGUAGUGUGUGUGGCCUCCACGUGCCCGUAUGACCUCCCUACAACGCCUGUGCAUGCUCCUGAUGAGGUGGCGGAUGGUCUACUGAGGGAUCUCCUCCCAGAUCUGG